CGCGCCUCCCGGAGAAAGGAAGCCGCGCGCGGGCGGCCGGGCGGGGGCGCUUAAAGGGGCCGCGGUCGCCGCCGGCCAGAGCGGGCAGCUUUGCCUGCGGCCCUGGCCUCGGCUCCCACGCUUCCCUGGCCCGAAGGCGCGUCUCGAGCACGUGGCAGCUGGAGCUCUCAGGCCGGAGGAAAAAACGACCUGGGUUUAGAGUCUAGGGCCGCCUGGCAAAAAGAGAGCUCGGCUGCCCAGGGGAUAGGUCUUCCAAUUCAGGCUGAGCUCCCCCAGUCCUUCAACUCCAAGACUUUUCCAGAUCCCUCCUCUGGGACCAAAAUUCAGUCUGAAGGCCACACCUUCCCGCACGGCCUGAUGCUUUGAGGAAGGUCUGUUGCCCCCUCCCUCCCCAGCGAAAGGCAAAAGCCCAGCGGGUGGGGGUGCGCCCCAGACCACCUGGCGUGAGGACACUGCCUCCGUUCUGGCCAGGCCUGACUCCCUUCCCACCCUGUCAUGGGAUCAAGGGGACAGCGCGGGACUCUCUCCGGCCACCCCCCACCCCCAGUUCCACGAGGCGGACUACAAGCCCCAUGAUGCCGCGGGGCCGAGCUAUAACAAGCUCUGUCCGGGGCACCCGCGUCCCCCUCCUCUCUCCCCCCGCAUCCCCGCAUCCCUCGCCGGCCGCUCGGGCUGAGGGCCGGGCUAUGCAGCUGCGGGGAGCCGGGGGCUGCGGGCGCGCGUCCCUGCGGCGGCGGCGGCGGCGGCGGCGUCCCCGGGGCCCGCGCCCCGUGCGCCCCCGCGCCCGCUGCGGGCGUCUGCUCUCUCCGCCGAGCGGCGUCUUUGUGUGCGGGGGUGUGGGAGGCGAGGCGCGAGUCC